ACCGGCAGCUCAAGUGGUGGCCAUUAGAAAUAGGCCGAAAGCGUUCGUAGCCGGUUUGAUAAGUCUCUGGUGAAAUCCCGCAGCUUAACUGUGGGACUUGCUGGAGAUACUAUCAGACUUGAGGUCGGGAGAGGUUAGGGGUACUCCCAGGGUAGGGGUGAAAUCCUAUAAUCCUGGGAGGACCACCUAUGGCGAAGGCGCCUAACUGGAACGAACCUGACGGUGAGUAACGAAAGCCAGGGGCGCGAACCG
rnacentral:rRNA from 1 species